rnacentral:rRNA from 1 species
ACGUAGGUGGCAAGCGUUAUCCGGAUUUACUGGGUGUAAAGGGCGUGUAGGCGGGACUGCAAGUCAGAUGUGAAAAUUAUGGGCUCAACCCAUAACCUGCAUUUGAAACUGUGGUUCUUGAGUGAUGGAGAGGCAGGCGGAAUUCCGUGUGUAGCGGUGAAAUGCGUAGAUAUACGGAGGAACACCAGUGGCGAAGGCGGCCUGCUGGACAUUAACUGACGCUGAGGCGCGAAAGCGUGGGGAGCAAACAG